UGGGGAAUAUUGCACAAUGGGCGCAAGCCUGAUGCAGCCAUGCCGCGUGUAUGAAGAAGGCCUUCGGGUUGUAAAGUACUUUCAGUCGGGAGGAAGGUGUCAAGGUUAAUAACCUUGUCGAUUGACGUUACCCGCAGAAGAAGCACCGGCUAACUCCGUGCCAGCAGCCGCGGUAAUACGGAGGGUGCAAGCGUUAAUCGGAAUUACUGGGCGUAAAGCGCACGCAGGCGGUCUGUCAAGUCGGAUGUGAAAUCCCCGGGCUCAACCUGGGAACUGCAUUCGAAACUGGCAGGCUAGAGUCUCGUAGAGGGGGGUAGAAUUCCAGGUGUAGCGGUGAAAUGCGUAGAGAUCUGGAGGAAUACCGGUGGCGAAGGCGGCCCCCUGGACGAAGACUGACGCUCAGGUGCGAAAGCGGGGGGAGCAAACAGG
rnacentral:rRNA from 1 species